rnacentral:rRNA from 1 species
UACAGAGGGGGCAAGGCGUUGUUCGGAAUUACUGGGCGUAAAGGGACGGCGUAGGCGGCCUGCUAAGUCGAACGUGAAAUCCCCGGGCUCAACCCGGGAACCUGCGUCCGAUACUGGCAGGCUUGAAUCCGGGAGAGGGAUGUGGAAUUCCAGGUGUAGCGGUGAAAUGCGUAGAUAGUCUGGAGGAACACCGGUGGCGAAGGCGGCAAGUCCGUGGAGCCCGGUAUUCGACGCGUGAUGCGCGAAAGCCAGGGGAGCAAACGGGG